AGAUCCUUGCAUAGCUGCAAAUUAUUUGCUGAAAGCUUCACCAAUAUAUGGAAUCUUUGCAAGUUACAACCCCCUUCAGGACUUCCCACGGAUCCUCAACCUCACCCAAUUAUAGAAGACAAAGAUGAGCCACUUGUAGAGCCACGUACUGCUUCGAAGAGGCUCAAUUUUGAUGAUCCGCCGUAGUCAUAGAUACUGAUAGAGACAUAUUGUUGUAGUUGUGGU